UAAUGAUGGGUAGGGGAGCUUCCCAUACGGGUUGAAGCAUGACCGUAAGGACAUGUGGACAGUAUGGGAGUGAGAAUGUUGGCAUGAGUAGCGAGAUGUGGGGGAGAAUCCCACAGGCCGUAAACCCAAGGUUUCCAGGGGAAGGUUCGUCCGCCCUGGGUUAGUCGGGACCUAAGCUGAGGCCGAAAGGCGUAGGUGAUGGACA
rnacentral:rRNA from 1 species